CACGUAGUUAGCCGGAGCUUAUUCUUCAGGUACCGUCAUUUUUUCUUCCCUGACUAAAGAACUUUACAAUCCGAAGACCUUCUUCAUUCACGCGGCAUUGCUGGGUCAGAGUUUCCUCCAUUGCCCAAUAUUCCCCACUGCUGCCUCCCGUAGGAGUCUGGGCCGUAUCUCAGUCCCAAUGUGGCCGAUCACCCUCUCAGGUCGGCUACGCAUCGUCGCCUUGGUGGGCCGUUACCUCACCAACUAGCUAAUGCGACGCGAGUCCAUCUCAUACCGGAUUGCUCCUUUUACCCCUCUGCCAUGCGGCAGUGUGGUCUUAUACCGUAUUAACUGAAGUUUCCCUCAGGUAUCCCGUUGUAUGAGGCAGGUUACUCACGCGUUACUCACCCGUUCGCCACUAGGAUAUUGCUAUCCCCGUUCGACUUGCAUGUGUUAGGCAUGCCGCAGCGUUCGUCCUGAGCCAGGAUCGAAACUCUA
rnacentral:rRNA from 1 species